UCAACUUGAGAGUUUGAUUCUGGCUCAGAACGAACGCUGGCGGCAUGCCUAACACAUGCAAGUCGAACGAGACCUUCGGGUCUAGUGGCGCACGGGUGCGUAACGCG
rnacentral:rRNA from 1 species